rnacentral:lncRNA from 1 species
UUGUGUAUGUGGUAAAAUUUAGUAUUUUACAGUUUGUAUGAGACAGCAACCAAGGAAUCUGAAUAAGCUUUAAUAAAAACUAUGUCAGUGAGACUCAUGGCUAAAUAACAAUAAAAUGUAAGUUUUGAUAUUCCUUAAAACCUAGAUAUAAUUAUUAAUAAAGCCAAAUAAGUUCUAUCCAAAACUAGAAAUCCAUCAUCACAGCUCGAAUCUAGAUGAUCUUCAUUGCUUGCAUACACUAGAUUUGAAACAACUGUCAUCAUCACAGUUUUGCUCUAAAAUCCAAUUACCAUAUUCUCAACAUUAAGCUUGUUGCAUUAAAGUUGAAUCUAAUAUCUUCUUUGUUUUUGAGUCAUGAGUUACAGGAAUGAUGAAUUUGUAUCUCAUAUGUUGGGGGGUUAAUUCAAAUUUAAUUUCUAGAUAGUUGUGUAGUCUGUGGGUUAUUUUUGUUAAGUAGUUGAUGUGAUGUGAAAUUUUGUUAUGGUAGUUAUUUUCCCACAGUUUGCAGUUAGGUGUAGGUAUUUGUGCUCUGUGUUAAGUAGUUGCUAACCCUAAAAUCUAGGCCUUGUCUCCUCUGACCUCUUAUCUGUGAUACGGGUAUGCUGAGUAUGAGGUAAUUUUCAGAUACUUUUAAAGUGAAAAUACACCUUGUAAGCUGGUAAUUAUGGCACAUUUCCUUUGAUAAGAACUUUGUGCCACAGAAAUUCUUUUGAGUUUGGCAUGCCUAAGCUAGUGUUUACAAUUUUCUCAUUUUUCUCUCUCCAUUUGAAAUUAUCAUUUCAAAAGCAUGUAUCUUUUAACUUCUCUUGCCUUACAGAGUGCUUGGAGCCUAAAACAGUGCAUUUCUUGGUACCAGUUGGAUCUAAAUGCAAAAUAUUCAAGUGAUUACACAGCAGUACCUGCCUGUAACAGGGAUAAGACUCCUCUGACACUGGGGCAUAAAUGCUUUACCUUCUCAUAAAAAGCAGAAGGGAGUAAUAGCCUGUGACUAUGGUAUGUAGUUAAACAACACAUGCUCAAAUUUUAUGAGUCUCUUUCUAGAGAAUGGUUACUUAUCUGCAAGUAAGGAGAACAUACAGUGUCUAUCUAUUUGCAUAUUUUAGGAACCAUGCUUGCUUGCUUUUUAUUAUUUUAUAAUUGAAUAAGAGAAAUUUCUUCCUCAGUGACCCAAAAGAGCUGAGAGUUGUUAUAGGCUAUAUUCAUGGGCCCAUAAUUUUUGACUUUGGGAAAUCAAUUAAGGGGGUCAGAAUUUCAUUUCUGGCAGAAGGUGGUACAAGAAAAUAUCUGUCAAAUUUUUGACACCCUGUUUCAUAGGAAAUACAGGAAGUGUGAAAUCCUUCAGUUGAUGUAUGUCUUGAUUCUCUGCAAUUUCCUCCUUACUGUGUUAAACAAUGGAUGAUCUUGCCCUGAGAUAACUGCUAUUUAUCCCUCUCCAGUUUUCUUGAAAGAUAAUUGACAUAUAUCACUGUUUAAGGUUUCAGCAUGAUGGCCUAACAUUAUCUAUUGUGAAAUGAUUACCACAAUAAGUUCAGCUAACAUCCAUCAUCUCAUGUCCA